rnacentral:snRNA from 1 species
GUGCUUAUUUUGGGAUCACAUACAUUAAAAGUGGAAUGAUACAGGGAAUGAUACAGAAUAUAAUGUCCCUUACACAAGAAUGACACACAAAUUCAUGAAACAUUCCAUACUUUU